rnacentral:ncRNA from 1 species
UGGAAUUGCAGAUAAAGCGAUGCCGUAUCCUUGUGAAACCGAAUGAGCGUUUCAGCAAAAUGUGCUGUCGCCGGACACAAGGGCCGCCUUUUUAGGGGGUUUUAUAAGCUA